GGAAGGUUGGCAGAGCGGUAAUGCAGCGGCUUGCUAAGCCGUAGCCCUUCGGGGCUCGUGGGUUCGAUCCCCGCACCUUCCG
rnacentral:tRNA from 1 species